UGUGAAAUCACAGUGCAGGCACCAACAUGCAUAUCAUGUACCUUAAGGUGUUACACCUUUAAUGAUCAGUUUAACAGCAAACUUUGGGAGAUUAAUCCCCCAGUCUUUGCCUUCCCAGUUACUUCCUUUCUUACUGAGCAUUCUCUGUGCUGAAGCAGCGUGUGCUUAUAAAAUUGCAGCUUUUCAGUGGAAGACAUGCGCACUCUACCACACCACACCUUCAAUUUCAUGUCUGAGUUACAUCCAGGAAGGUGUUUCUGACCCCAGCUAUAAGUGCAGAUUUCUAUUGACAUAAGCACUUUUACAAAAUGUCGUGAAAAAAUGGCAGGAUUCCUUUUAAUAUUGAAGCAUUAUUGGAUUUCCUAACUAAUUCUCCACUCCAUAUUAAAGCUAUAGUGGUCAUGGUACCAUAGGCACCCUAGCACUGUCCCACGGUAAGAUAUCAAACUGCUUUAGUAUGUUUUUUACAACUUGCAUGCAGGUUUAUACCUUGCAUCUGGUCUUCUUAAUUAAGGAUAAUUAAUAUUGCUCCAUAGAACAAGGUAGUCAAGCAGAACCGCACUCAUUGGCUCAGAGUGUCUGGAGAAGAUUGGAUGCAGAUGAUGCGGGUGCUCAUUGAGAUCUAAAAAGACUUGACAUCUUACCAUAGGGUGGCACUAGGUUACUUUUGGCAUCAUAACAGCAGGCAGAGGUGAUUAUGGUACUGCAGUUUUCAUUUAACUUUUUCUAGCACAUGCCUUGACUGGGUAACAGGGCCGUGGAAGUUCCUGCAAAAACAAG